UACAGAGGGUGCAAGCGUUGUUCGGAAUUAUUGGGCGUAAAGGGUGCGUAGGCGGUGCGGUAAGUCUGUAGUGAAAUCUCUGGGCUCAACUCAGAGUCUGCUAUAGAAACUGCCGUGCUUGAGUGUGGGAGAGGUGAGUGGAAUUCCCGGUGUAGCGGUGAAAUGCGUAGAUAUCGAGAGGAACACCAGUGGCGAAGGCGAGUCCCUGGACGACUCCUGACACUGAGGCACGAAAGCUAGGGGAGCAAACAGG
rnacentral:rRNA from 1 species